GUGGUGGUGGUGGCGGCAGUGGUGGUGGUAGUGGUGGUGGUAUUGGAAAUGUGGGAAUGUUUUUGUGGUGCUGGCAGUGGUUGUAGUGGUGAUAUCGACUGUGGUAGUGGUGGUAGUGUUGGACGGGUGGUGUGAUGUGUUGGUGGCGAUGGUUAUGAUAGGGGUGGGUAGGAAUGUGAUGGUGAUAGUGGGUGGUGGUAGUGGGGCGUUGGUGGUGGGGUUUGAUGAUGGCGGUGAUGGUGGUAUGAUGAUGUUGGUGCUCUGAUGGUGAUGGUGGUGGCGGUGGCUAUGCGAUGGUGAUGGUAUGAGGGCAGUGCUGUUAUUUACAAUGGUUUGCUGUGGUUGUAGGAUGAUGGUGUGUGUCGAUGGUGAUGGUUGUGAUGGUGAUUGUACAAUGUGAUGACGACGAUGGUGAUGAUGAUGAUGAUGAUGAUGAUGAUGAUGAUGAUGAUGAUGGUGGUGGUGGUGGUGGUGGUGGUGGUGGUGGUGAUGAUGAUGAUGAUGAUGAUGAUGAUGAUGAUGAUGAUGAUGAUGGUGGUGGUGGUGGUGGUGGUGGUGGUGGUGGUGGUGAUGAACAGAUGGUGUUGAUGACGUUGAUGAUAGUGGCGGCGGCGGCGGCAGUGGUGGUGGUGGUGGUGUUGGUGGUGGUGGUGGCCUUAGGCAUCUGUGUGAUACGAUGGUCGUUUUUGUUUUUAAGUGGUGGUGGUCGUGGUGGAGACAGGUUAUCUGGUGUAUUGUAGGGGGAGGUAACAAGAGUUAAAAACAACAACAGCAACAACAUAAAUUUGGUUGAAAUCUUCAGAUCAAUAGCGAUCUGAUCGAACAAGACCUACCUGUUGAUCAAAAACGGCCGUCCUUUCGUGGCCUUCCCACCUUUUUCGAUUUCUCCAGUCUUAAAGUCUGUGGCUCGAUUUUUCUGUUUUGUUUUCGUUGUUAGUAGUGUAGCCAGCCAGUUGAUGAGUCAUGUCUCGUGCGGCCCACUUCUCGAAAAAGGUGGCCCGUACUUGGAUUAUUUAAUUACAAGAUAAUCCACUACGUCUUGCUUGUUCUUAAGACAAUAGGACAUGGAGGCGCAAUGGCCCAGUGGUUAGGGCAGCGGACUCGCGGUCAUAGGAUCGCGGUUUCGAUUCCCAGACCGGGCGUUGUGGGUGUUUAUUGAGCGAAAACACCUAAAAGCUCCACGAGGCUCCGGCAGGGGAUGGUGGUGAUCCCUGCUGUACUCUUUCGCCACAACUUUCUCUCACUCUUACUUCCUGUUUCUGUUGUACCUGUACUUCAAGGGGCCGGCCUUGUCACUCUCUGUGUCACGCUGAAUAUCCCCGAGAACUACGUUAAGGGUACACGUGUCUGUGGAGUGCUCAGCCACUUACACGUUAAUUUCACGAGCAGGCUGUUCCGUUCAUUCGGAUCAACCGGAACCCUCAUCGUCGUAACCGACGGAGUGCUUCUACAUUUAGCAGAUCAUUUAGCUAUGCAUAGAGGCUGUUGUUUUAAUUGCAUGUCAGCCCUGUAUUGUGGAGGCGCGUGGUUUAGUGGUUAGGGUGUUGGACGCAUGAUCGUAAGAUUGUGGUUUCGAUUCCUGGACUGGGUGAUGCCAUUGUGUUCUUGAACAAAACAGUUCAUUUCACGUUGCUCCAGCUGGUAAAAAUGAGUAAUCUUGCAAUGGACUAGCGCCCCAUCCAGGUUGGGUAUAUACACGCCAUUGAAACAGGGAAAGCGGCCCUUAUGAGUCUCAGGAAGAAAUUUUGCUUUGCUUGCAGCCCUGAUUGGGGAGUCCUAGCAUCGAAUACAUUCCAGCGGUGACCAUCCCGUCAUUUUCCCUAUGUGUAGCGAACUCAGUGUUACGUUACCUCAUGCAGAAAGACAAAGUCAAAGAAUUGAGUGAUUGUUUCCUUCUGCGAAAGAAUUUUUGUUUUUACCAAAACAUUAAACAUUUGUCCUCCAAUUUCGUGUCCUUCUCCCGGUAAGUUUUUACUGGUACUGGCUUCAUGAAAAAGUACUCUUUUACUCUUUUACUUGUUUCAGCCAUUUGACUGUGGCCAUGCUGGAGCACCGCCUUUUUUAGUCGAGCAAAUCGACCCCAGGACUUAUUCUUUGUAAACCCAGUACUUAUUCUAUCGGACUAUUUUGCCGAACUGCUAAGUUACGGAGACGUAAACACACCAGCAUCAGUUGUCAAGCGAUGAUGGGAGGACAAACACAGACACACAAACAUAUAUACACAAACACACACAUACAUAUAUAAACAUAUAUACGACGGGCUUCUUUCAGUUUCCGUCUACCAGAUCCACUCACAAGGCUUUGGUCGGCCCGUGGCUAUAGUAGAAGACACUUGCUCAAGGUGCUACGCAGUGGGACUGAACCCGGAACCAUGUGGUUCGUAAGCAAGGUACUUACCACACAGCCACUCCUACGCCUAAAAGUACCAGUAAUUUUCCGAAAGCCUACUGUUACAUCCGUCUCAGGAGUGUGUUAGUUUAUUUACUAAUCCUCAGGUAAAUAAAAAUAUUUGCCACCGAUAAUUGGUAAGGUACCAUCAUCGGUGAAGAGUAACCUCUAACUAAUCGAUGGAGGCCAUUCUUAAGCGGAUCAAGACCGAAAUCUACUACGAAACGUGUGAUGAACAAGGACAUUAAACACAAGCCCAACAUGAUGAAGAGAGGAGAAUUUACUCUCGGAAAAUCCCGAGAGAAUCGGGUGAUCAUGUGACAUCCCCCACCAAUAUCACGUUAUCUCCUAGCUGUCAUAAUUUGAAAUCCCACCCUGAACAUUUGCAUCUGUGGCAUCGUCAGGAGACAAGAUAGACACAGUGAUAAGGGCUCUUUGAGUGAAAAUGAUGGAUGGCAUAUUUGGAGCAGGUGUAAAUGGUGGAUGGUAUAGUUAACAUCACAGCCAUCCACAUAUGGACAUAAGCGUCGUAUUUAGACAAAAACUACUUUUUGAGAAAUUUCCCGGAAGCCCGGGUUUCAAUUAAGGUAACGUGACACAGAGUGUGACACAGAAAUACAUGUGCUACUUAAAGAUUCAGCGUGACACAAAGUGUGACAUAAAAAUACAAGUGCUACUCAAAGAUUCAGUGUGACACAGAGUGUGACACAGAAAUACAGGUGCUACUCAAAGAUUCUGCGUGACACAGAGUGUGACACAGAAACAUAGGUACUACCCAAUUUUACCAGCUGAGUGGAUUGGAGCAACACGAAAUAAAGUCUUUUGCUCAAAGACAGAAAACGCCGUUAAGUAUCGAACUUACGACUUAACAAUCGUGAUCUGAAUCCCCAAAUCACUAAGCCACGCGCCUUCUUUUAUAUUUCCAUAGAAAUCCAUAGGAAUUCUUCAUUCUUCGCCGUGGCGUUGGAUAAGUUUAAAAGUUUUUUAACUCAUUUGAAUUCUGUUCAACCUGGCAAUUUGUCCGCUCGUUUUGUCACUCCUUACACACUAGUUGUCAAGCGAUGGUAGGGGACAAACACAUGCACAAUGGCACAGACACGCACACACACACAUAUACACGACGGCUUCAGUUAUCGUCUGCUAAAUCCACUCAAUAAGGCUUUGGUCGGUGAGAGGAAAGUGAAAGUAGAGAGGCAAGUUUUGUCUGGCGAAUGUUAAAAAAAAAGAUGGGUGAAUGUAGCAAGGAUAGCACGUAUGAAUGACGAAGCCACCUUGAACAUGAUCCUAUGAAUCCGGAAAAAUUUAAAAACAGAGAGUUACUUACUUGCAAAUAAACGUGUUAACAUGUGACAUUAUUGACCGAGGUUACCGUGGCCUUUUCCGUAGGCUUUUCUUUCCACAGAUAAACUUUAUCUGCUUCCUCCUUUAAACUUUACAUCAUGAUAUUUCUGUGAUACACGAUCCCUAUUGAUAAUUUUUUCUCUCUUUUUACAAUCCCUUUUGAUCGAAAACCUACCCAACUUUUUUUUCUCCCCAGAAAGAAAAGCUCUACUUUGUAAUUUGUCCCCUCUGUGUUGAGCCCUGUGUGGUUAAUAAAGAAACAUAUCUAUCUAUCUAUCUAUCUAUCUAUCUAUCUAUCUAUCUAUCUAUCUAUCUAUCUAUCUAUUUAUCUGUCUGUCUGUGUGUAUGUAUGUAUGCGUGUGUAAAUAUAUAUACAUAUAUAUAUAUAUAUAUAUAUAUAUAUAUAUGUACAUAUGCAUAUAUAGACAUAUAUAUGUACACACACACACACACACACACACAAAUAUAUAUAUAUAUAUAUAUAUAUAUAUAUAUAUAUAUAUAUAUAUAUAUAUACGUGACCGCGUGUGUACCGUUGGCGAUAUUUUUCCUCCGCCUUCCCUUCUAUGGAUCUUUCCUUCUCCUAUGUUUCUGACGAAGAGCUCCGCUCGAAACGUUAAACCCUCCUUCUUCCCUUCCUUCCUGAGCGUCCAUUAAUACUAUAUUUGUUCCACCUCCUCGCGUUCUUGCGUUUUCUCUUUGUGUUUUCAUGUUUGGAUUAACUUUAUAUAUAUAUAUAUAUAUAUAUAUAUAUAUAUAUAUAUAUAUAUAUAUAUAUAUAUAGUAUAUAUAUAUAUAUAUGUUCAUAUUAACAUUGUUGCAUACACCUGUCGAUGAUAUAUAUGUUUGUAUGUAUUAUAUGUAUGUAUCUCUCUCUCCUCCUCUUCCUUUCUCUCUCUCUCUCUAUAUAUAUAUAUACAUAUAUAAAUAUUUACAUACAGGCACACACACAUAUAUAUAUAUAUAUAUAUAAACACUUACAUAUGUAUGCACACACACACAUUCACACAUAUAUAUAUAUAAACACUUACAUACGUAUACACACACACACACACACACAUAAACACACACACACACAUAUAUAAACACACACACACAUAUAUAUAUAUAAACACACACACACACACACACAUGUGAUUCAUGAGUCGAUAGGAUGUGGAAACUGUCUGCCGCACACAGAGACAGCAUCAACACGAACGCACCAAAUACACCAACGCAAUCGCACCCACCCCACCACACCAUCUCACCACUCCCACCACACCAUCUCACCACUCCCACCGCACCAUCUCACCACUCCCCCCCACACCAUCUCACCACUCCCCCACCACUCCUGUCACUAGCAUCCAAUGAAAACCAUACGAGCGCCAUCAUCGCCAGCAAUCCGAACCAACAUUAUUAUUACCAUUGUUAUCAUUAUUAUUAUUAUUAUUAUUAUUAUUAUUAUUAUUAUUAUUGUCGUCGUGGUUGUUGUUGUUGUUGUUGGCAUUAUUUAAGUGGAACUAUUGACACGAAAAUAGUGCUGCGCGUGGGCGGUGUAACAUGUAAAUACAAGUGUACACUUUACUAUAGUCAUUGCUUUACUACAGACGGAAUUGUGUUGUGUAGUAGCUGUUGAAGUGUCAUAGAAGAACCGUGUUGAGAAAAACGAUCUCUGUGUGUAUAUGUACGUGUGUUUGUUUUGUAUAUGAAUCUAUCUAUCUAUCUAUCUAUCUAUCUAUCUAUCUAUCUAUCUAUCUAUCUAUCUAUCUAUCUAUCUAUCUAUCUAUCUAUCUAUCUAUCUAUCUGUCUAAUUCUAUCUAUCUACUUGCACGUAUGUCGGCGGAUACUCUUUACUCUAUCGUUUACUCUUUUACGUUUUUCAGUCAUUUGACUGUGGGCCAUGCUGGAGCACCGCCUUUUAGUCGAGCAAAUCGACCCCAGGACUUAUUCUUUGUAAGCCUAGUACUUAUUCUAUCGGUCACUUUUUGCCGAACCGCUAAGUUACGGAGACGUAAACACACCAGCAUCGGUUGUCAAGCGAUGCUGGAGUGGGUGGGUGGCAAACACAGACACACAAACAUAUACGCACACGUACAUAUAUAUAUAUACAUAUAUACGACGGGCUUCUUUCAGUUUCCGUCUACCAAAACCACUCACAAGGCUUUGGUCGGCCCGAGGCUAUAGUAGAAGACACUUGCCCAAGGUGCCAUGCAGUGGGACUGAACCCAGAACCAUGUGGUUGGUAAGCAAGCUACUUACCACACAGCCACUCCUGCGCCUAUACAUAUAUGUUUAUCUAUACUUUAAGAUAUAUAUGUGUCUUAUGUAUUAUAUAUGUAUAUACAUAUACAUACAUAUAUAUAUAUGUAUGUAUGUAUGUAUGUAUGUAUGUAUGUAUGUAUGUAUGUAUGUAUAUAUAUAUAUAUAUAUAUAUAUAUAUAUUUGAGGGUGUGCUGUAAAGUUCCUGACGUUAAGGGUAUCGCGAAUGGCCUGCUUGGAGCCCCAAUCUUCUUAGUUCUUUUUUAAGGGCUUAGAAAAACUGAAGGACCACUGCAAUAAGUGUGUGAAUCUGAGACGGGAAUAAAAUUGAAUAAAAUCAUAAUUAACUGAUCCUCCUGUAUUUUCUUUUACCCAAAACCAGAAAGUUCUUAGCAUCGCUUAAACACACACACACACACACACACACACACACACACACACACACACACUUACAGGGCCGCAUUAAGACCCAUAGAGGCUCUAAGCACUCAAAAAGAUUUCGGUGCCUCCAUAUAUAAUUUGAAAUGCAAACAAUAACAAACUAUAAAUUAAAUUUUUAUUCCUCAAAAUGAAACAACACUAACAGUAAGAUGGGAAAAUAGUGUCUAUUUUUGUAUACUUUCCAUUUAAUCUAUAUUUGGAUCCUUUCAUUUUAUCUUUUUUUCAAUUGCAAAGUCUUUGGUCAGAUUCUCAAAGUUAAUCGUACGUAAGACGUCUGCUUCUAUACUUUGUAGAAAAUUUAUUUUAGCAAGUUUAAAGUGAUUUCUUUUGUGCCGUAAACCAUUUCCCAUUUCUGCAGUUUCCCCCUCCUUCCUUUGAUGCCCUAAGAACGUGCUUAUUUUGCUUUAUGUUAACCCAGCUCUGUCUAUAUACAUAUGUCCAUCUUUCUUUUCCUCACGUGACCAUUUGUCUUUUCCUGCGCGUCGUUCUAAGGACCGGACAUCUUCUAUCAAUCUCUUCUAUAUCUAUCUCUCUCUUCUAUCUUUACUCUUUUCAAAGAAAACAUUUCUCCCAGCGUUCACUAUUUUUUAUUCUCCUUGUGGUCAAACGACACUCCAUGUUUUUUUCCCGUUCGGGUUCCCUCGUAUGUUACCACUGGCGUGUUUUUGUUCCCAACUUUGACCCUCCAUAAAUCCAAAAUUUUAUUUUGGAAUUUAUGGGAGCAACUGUAUUCGAAGACUCAUAUAUAGUCGUUGAGCGCUCGAAAUGAGGAGUAGAUAGACAGCCGACAACUGAUGAAGGGUCGUUCUCCGUGUUACUUGUCCUGUUUCCCCACUUUUUUUCUCUCGUUGUUUGCGGAUUUAACACGCCUGUUUUCGUACUUCAUGUUGUUUACAGUUGGUGACGUCGUGUAUUUUACUCGUCUCAGACUGCGAGGUGUGGACACGUGUGCGCGAGUGUGUAUGUAACAAUAUAUGUGUGUGUGUGUGCAUACAUAUAUACAGGCAUAUAUGGGCACAGGAGGUCACCAAAGGAGCAAAUAAUACAUAAACAAACGAGGGAAAAACGUGUGAAAUACGUAAACAACGAGGAAAACUGGAAAACUGGACAAGUAAACACAGAGAAAUGACCCUUCAUCAGUUGUCGGCUGUCUACUCCUCAUUUCGAGCAUUAUAUAUAUAUAUAUAUAUAUAUAUAUAUAUAUAUAUGUGUGUGUGUGUGUGUGUAUAUAUGUAUGAGCGACUGUGUGGUAAAUAACUUGCUUACCAACGACAUGGUCCCGGGUUCAGUCUCACUGCGUGGCACUUUGGGCAAGUGUAUUCUACUAUACUCUCGGGCCGACUAAAGCCUUGUGAGUGGAUUUGGUAGGCGGAAACAGAAAGAAGCCCGUCGUAUAUAUAUAUAUAUAUAUAUAUAUAUAUAUAUAUAUAUAUAUAUAUAUAUAUAUAUAUAUAUAUAUAUAUAUAUAUAUAUAUAUAUAUAUAUAUAUACCUAUAUAUAUAUAUAUAUAUAUAUAUAUAUAUAUAUAUGUAUUAUGUAUAUGUUUGCGUGUCUUUGUUUGUCCCCCACCAUCGCUUGACAACCGAUCUUGGUGUGUUUACGUCCCCUAUAACUUAGCAGUUCGGCAAAACGGACCGAUAAAAUAAGUACAAGGCUUACAAAGAAUAAGUCCUGGGGUCGAUCUGUUCGUCUAAAGGCGGUGCUCCAGCAUAGCCGCAGUCAAAUGACUGAAACAAAUAAAAGAAUAGAAUAUAUAUAUAUAAAUAUAGCUACCAAUAGAAUUUUUAGACAAGGCGGAACUGUGACCGGGUUUAGGCUUAUAGGUGGGGUGAUGCGGAUUUGAUCUGGAAAUUUUAACUGGGGCGAGAGAACUGGUUGUUCUCUCGUAGGGAGUGGAUCGACAGAUAAGUUACUCGUGCCCCACCCUGGCUCGACGUCGUUGUGUGGGUGAGAAGCUUGCCUCGCAACAACCUGGUUCCGGUUUCACCCCCGCUGUCUAGCGUCUCGGGCAAGUGUCUUCUACUAUAGCCUCGAGCCAACCGAAGCCUUGUGAGUGAAUGCAGUAGACGGAAACUAAAAGAAGCCCAUGAUGUAUAUAAAUAUGUAAAUAUAUCUAUGCGUCCGUAUUUGUGUUUGUGCUCGACCACCAAUCGAAGUCCAAAAUAUGCACAUAUAUACAUAUAUGUUUAUAUAUAUAUAUAUAUAUAUAUAUAUAUAUAUAUAUAUAUAUAUAUAUAUAUAUAUAUAUAUAUAUAGGGGGCUAAACAUAGAGGGGACAAACAAGGACAAACAAAGGGAUUAAGUCGAUAACAUCGAUCCCAGUGCGAAACUGGUACUUUAUUUUUCGACCCCGAAAGGAUGAAAGGCAAAGUCGACCUAGGCGGAAUUUGAACUCAGAACGUAUCGACAUGUUUAUACAUAUAUAUAUAUAUAUACUCUCUUUUACUCUUUUACUUGUUUCAGUCAUUUGACUGCGGCCAUGCUGGAGCACUACCUUUAGUCGAGAAAAUCGACCCCAGCACUUAUUCUUUGUAAGCCUAGUUCUUAUUCUAUCGGUCGCUAUUGCCGAACCGCUAAGCUACGGGGACAUAAACAAACCAGCAUCAGUUGUCAAGCGAUGUUGGGGGCGGACAAACACAGACACACAAACACACACACACACAUAUAUACAAGUACAUAUAUACAUAUAUACGACGGGCUUCUUUCAGUUUCCGUCUAGCAAAUCCACUUACAAGGCUUUGGACGGCCCGAGGCUAUAGUAAAAGACACUUGCCCAAGGUGCCACGCAGCGAUAUAGCAAGCGACCUGAUCUGAGAUCGUGUGCUGAACCAAAAACAAUUGCAGCGUGGAAGGUGUUUAUAAGCCAUUUAAAAACACACAAAAACCGUUAGAUUCACUUCAACAUUUAAAUUUUAUUUGUCUCCGCUAAAUCUAAUUUUGUCAGUGAAUAAGGUUGAGGUCUCAAAGCGACGCAAAUAUUUUGACAAAUUAAAUUUAUACGUUGAAGUGAAUCUAACGGUUUUUGUGUGCUUUUUAAAUGGCUUAUAAACACCUUCCACGCUGCAAUUGUUUUUCGUUGAAUACACGAUCUCAGAUCAGGUCGCUUGCUAUGCAAGUACAUCUCUCUUUUUUACACACACACACACACAUAUAUAUACAUAUAUACGACAGGCUUCUUUCAGUUUCCGUCUACCAAAUCCACUCACAAGGCUUUGGUCGGCCCGGGGCUAUAGCAGAAGACACUUGCCCAAGAUGCCACGCAGUGGGACUAAACCCGGAACCAUAUGGUUGGUAAGCAAGCUACUUACCACACAGCCAAAAAUUUAUAUCUAUAUAUAUAUCUGUGUGUAUAUGUAGGUUUUAUUUAUGAAUGUAUAUAUAUAUAUAUACAUAGAUAGAUAUACUUGUUUAUAUAUAUAAACACACGUACCACGUACAUACAUGUAUAUAUAUAUAUAUAUUUAUUUAUGUACCUCUGCAUAUGUAUGUAUUUCUCUGUGUGUGUGUGUGUGUAUGUAUAUAUAUUUAUAUUUAUACGCACCUACACACAUACACAUACCUACAUGCACGCACGCACGCACACAGACAAACA
rnacentral:lncRNA from 1 species